rnacentral:rRNA from 1 species
CAUAAUAAUUAGUUUUUUAAUUGAAAACUGGAAUGAAUGGUCAAACGAAAUAAUAGCUUUUUUAAUAGUAAAAAUUUAAUUUAUAUAUUAAGUGAAAAUACUUAAAUAAUAAAAAAAGACGAGAAGACCCUGUAGAAUUUUAUUAUAAAAUUAAAUUACAAUUUAUAUAAAUAGUAUAUUUUAAUUAAGUAAAUUAGUUGGGGCGACGAAAAAAUAUAAAAAACUUUUUUGAAUAAAACUUAAAAUUAAGAAUUUUAUGAUCCUUAAAAAAGAUUAAAUGAAAAAAUUACCUCAGGGAUAACAGCGUAAUCUUCUUUGAGAGUUCAAAUCGACAAGAGGGUUUGCGACC